AGGAACCCCUCCUUAAGCAUGCUGAGGAAACGCCACAAAUUGGGAAAGCCAGGAUAGACCCGAAGACUGUCUAUAUACAACCAUGUUUGCCAAUGAGCUAACCAGUUCAAAGCGGCAAAUGUAAAUGGAAGAAAUGAGCAACGAUGUGAAAGGUAGUUAAUCUAGCUCAUUCAAACCUCCAAAGUUAAACCUGAAUCUAUCUGAAUUAUGGUGUCAACUCCUCUCUUCAUUUUAAUUGGAUAAAAUUACAGAGAAAAAAGAUUGUCCACUAGCAUGCUUAUUUAUAGUUCUAGGAUAAGACUGGGCGGAGGCAAGGUAAUCUAUCAACUUAUUUUUCAUUGCCUGUGAUCACUGCAUUUUUUUAUGAUCCUCUUUUUCAUGCACAUUGAUUUCUCCCAUGUAGCAACUCAGGAAACUGUAAAUGAUAAAUGAUUGUACUCACAAUUAAGCCAUUAAGGUAACACAGUCUUAUAAUAUGAAGAUGUAUUAUAAAACAAGUCUUAAGUGAAGAAGUUGUAGAAGUUCAGUUUUCAGUUCCAUUUUUUGACAAAUAUGCAAA
rnacentral:lncRNA from 1 species